rnacentral:tRNA from 3 species
GCCGGGGUAGCCUAGCCUGGGAAGGCGCGGGACUCGAGAUCCCGUGGGCGUCGAGCCCACCAGGGUUCAAAUCCCUGCCCCGGCGCCA